CCGACCCGUUACCGCGGGCGCCGGGGGCCGGGGCGGUGCUGUGGUUUCGGUGCCGGCUGCGGGCAGGCGGCCUAAUGAACUCUCGGCACGCACCCCCGCGCCAGCGGCCCGCCCGGCGCCCCCGCCCCUGGCUCCUGCCCCGCGGGGACCCUGGCGGCCCCGCCCCAACGUCACCCCCGGAACCUCUGGGUUCCAUCCCGGGACCCGGGUGCGGGAUCCCCGCCGGGAUCUGCGCCGGGGGCGGCGGGGAUCGCCUAGGCGGCCCUGGGGUGACCGUGGCCCCCUUCGGGGUUGGCGCGGGGCCUUGCGCGCCCUCUGGCGGCCGUGGGGCCCCGCGCGUCUCCAGGCCGCAGGUCUGAUCCUCCCUCGCUCCUCUCCGCAGGGACCUGCGUGCCUGACCAUGGGGCCCCUGAGCCGGGAAACCUGGGCCCAGCGCCUGAGCACCUUCCGGGCCAGCCCGUCCGCCUUCAUGGCAGGUCCCGAGGGUGAGGAUCUCGGUCGUGACCUGCUGAGCGACCUGAGGAAUGAGAAGCUGAGCGAGCAGACUAAGGUUUCCUUGCUGGCUCUGAGCUUGGAGUACCCAGCCCAGCUGUGGCCGGACGCCCCUGCGGCCGAAGCAGCCGCGACCUCCCUGUUGGAUACCCUGGUCCUUCUGCCCCCGCGGCCCUCGGCUCUGCGGCGGCCCCUGCUGCUGGCGGCCACCACAGCCUUGGCGGCAGGAGGUGCGCUGGGCCCCACCUCGGGAGCCUCGCGCCGUCUCCUGCCCUUGCUGCUGGGCUUGGCUUCCGGCCGCGAUCUGGGGCGCAGCUUUGGCCCAGCCUCGGAACAGCGCCCCCUGCAGGCCACAGCGUGGGAGUGCCUGCGCGAGCUGGAGAGCUGCAAGCCUGGGCUGCUGGGGGGCUGCCUGGGGCUGCUGCGGGGCCUGCUGGGGCACGAGGGCCCUGUCCAGCCACUCAGCCUGCUUCUGGCACUUGCCCUGAGAAACGCCUUGGUGAUACAAGCCAGGGCCAGAGCCAGGGCCGGCCUGCAGGGCCUGCUCAUGGCUGGGGACUCUCCCACUGAGGGUGGUCCCUGGAACUGGACCCUAGCUGAGGAGGGUGAGGCCCACCUUCAGCCCCAGGUCCCCAGUUGGCCAGCAGCUGAGGAGGGGGAGUGUGGCCUUGCAGUGCUGGAGCUCAGUCCUGAGGAGGCCCGGGAGCUGCGGGCUGCCGUGGCUCAGCUCCUGGACACCUCCUACCUGCUCACUCCUGCGGCCCAGGCCCAGCUUCUGUGGCUGCUGGGCUGGGCUCUGCGGGGUCUCCAGGGACAGCCACCAGUGCUCUUCAAGCCACAGCUGGUACGGCUGCUGGGCACAGCACAGCUGACGCUGGUGCAUGCCAUUCUGGCUCUGAAGGCAGCCUUCGGUGAGGCGCUGUUCACGGCCCAGGAUGAGGCCUUGCUGCUUCGCCGGCUCACCUUGGCUGCCCAGCACCCAGCCCUGCCCCUGCCCGCCCAUCUCUUCUACCUGCACUGCCUCUUGAACUUCCCUGAGAACUGGCCGCUGGGCCCCGCAGGCGAGGAGGCUGCCCCGCUGCUGCUUGGGUCUCAGCGAUGCCGUGGUCUUCUGCCCAGUCUCCUGCAUGAGCCAAUGGCCCUCCUGGCCCGCCUGCAUCUGCUGUGUCUGCUCUGUGUGGAAGACGAAGAGAAGGAGGAGAAGGGCCAGGAUCAGAGCCCCCAGCACUACCUGGAAGAGCUACUGGCUGGCCUGCGGCAGAGGGCAGCCCUGGAUGGUGGCCCCCAGGCCUUGGCCACUCUCUGCUUCCAGGCUUCAUACCUGGUUGCUCACUGCCUGGCCGGGCAACCUAUGGUGCUGAUCCCCUUGACCCACGGACUGGCCCAGCUGUACCGAGCCCGGCCUGCACUUGCUCCCCAUUUCAUAGAUCUCUUGGAUCAGGUGGGCCCUGAGCUGGGGGAACCCUUGAAGGUGGUCUUGCGGCAGGAGGUGGUGUCCAGGCCAGGCAGGGAUGAGGCCCUUCGUUGGCAUCUGCAGAUGCUGGCAAGGGUGGUGGACAGGGAUGCCCAGAGUGCCACUCUCAGCUUCCUGCAGGCUGCGGCUGCCCACUGCACAGACUGGGGCCUCCAGCAGGCACUGCUGCAGGUCUGCCGGGCCCUGCUGCGGGCAGGUGUUGGGGGAGGCCUGGCAGACUUGCUGCAGGUGCUGGCCAGGCAGCUGGAGGACCCUGAUGGGCGGGACCACGCGUGCCUCUAUUACAUCCUCCUGGCCCACUUGGCGGGGCCCAAGCUGGGUGUGGCCCUGGGCCCCUCCCUUGCUGCACCUGCACUGGCCUCCUCACUGGUGGCCGAGAAUCAGGGCUUCGCUGCAGCACUGAUGGUGCAGGAGGCCCCAGCCCCGAUUCGCCUGAGUGUGGGUCCCCGCAGAGCUGAGGGCCCGGAGCCAGUGCUGCAGCUCCAGGUGGAGGUGCUGGAGCCAGUGUAUUCUCUGGAACUGCGCUUCCGUGUGGAAGGACAGCUCUACGCACCCUUGGGGGCUGUCCAUGUGCCCUGCCUGUGCCCCGGCCGCCCCACCCACCCUCUGCUCCUGCCUCUGCGGCCCCGACGCCCGGCUCCCGCAAGGCUGGCUGUGCGCGCCCUGUACACCACACCCAGCGGCCUCACGUGCCAUGCUCACCUGCCACCCCUGCUUGUGAACUUCGCUGACCUCUUUCUGCCCUUCCCCCAGCCCCCCGAGGGGGCCAAGCUGGGCUUCUUUGAGAAGCUCUGGGACUCCUGCCUGCCAAAGGGCACUGAGAGUCGCUUGUGGUGCCCCCUCGGGCCACAUGGGCUGGAGGCCUUGGUGUCCUGCCACCUGGAGCCUUUUGUGGUGGUGGCGCAACCCCCCACCAGCUACCUUAUAGCCAUCCGUCUGCCCCCAGACUCGCGGUUGCUGCUGAGGCUGGAGGCAGCCCAGGCGGACGGAGUGCCUGUGGUCCUGCGGACUGAUGACUGGGCCGUGCUGCCCCUGGCGGGGGACUACCUGCGGGGGCUGUCAGCGGCUGGCUGAGCCCCGGGCCUGGGCCAGUCCCUAGGAAACCCAAUCUGUGGACCUAAGACUCAUCCCAGGUGGUGCAGUCGUUAAGAAUCCACCUGCCAAUGCAAGGGACACAGGUUCGAUCCCUGCUCCAGGAAGAUCCCACAUGCCGCAGAGCAACUAAGCCCGUGCACCACAACUGUUGAGCCUGCGCUCUAGAGCCCGUGAGCCACAACUAUUGAGCCCAUGUGCUGCAACUACUGAAGCCCAUGCACCUAGAGCCUGUGCUCUGCAACAAGAGAAGCCACGGCAAUGAGGAGCCUGUGCACCACAAUGAAGAAUAGCCCCCACUCACCACAACUAAAAGAAAGCCCACGCACAGCAAAAAAGACCCAACACAGCCAAUCAAAUUAAUUAAUUAAUUAAUUUAAAAAAAUUCAGUGGCUUUCCUGAAACCUACACAGGCCAAAUCCAGCCCACUGUGUUUUUGCAAAUAAAGUUUUAUUGGAACAUAGCCAUGCUUAUUCAUUUACAUAUUGCCUAUGGCUGUUUUUAUGCUACAAUGACAAAGGUGAGUAUUUGUGUUAGGGACCAAAUGUGAGGUUUGUCAAACUCUGCUAUAGAUAAAUAAUAAUCAGAAAGUAAAAUCGAAAAAAAAAAAAGAUCUUGAUUAUAACAGAAACAAUAUAAGCUAUCUAGGAAUAAACUUUAAAAUAUGUGUAAAAGAAGAAAACCCCAUAACUGUGCGGGUAAGACAUAAAAGGAGACAUAAAUAAACGGUGUUAUGUAUCUUAUUCUUGGUAGAAAAUGAAAGCAAAAUUCUAAUCUGUCCAUACCCUCCAGGAAAAGACCACAAAAAACACACCUGCAGUUAUUAGUUUUGCACUGUGGGGUAUCUCAGUAAGAAAGCAUUAGGAAGGAUUUCUAGGAUUUAAGGGACUUGAGGGAGGGUUUAAGGAAGUAGGACUUUUCUCUGGAUUGGAUGCUGUCAGGAAGUAGGAGUAUUUCUAUGAGGGGAUAUGUUAACUAGAUGGAGGCUAAAGCUACAGUUGGUAAAGUAGCAACGGUCACUUAUAUUAUCUAAGAUAGAAGGACUUUCAUUAUUUUUGUGUUUUGGACAGUAUUUGUGUCUUUGUUAGUGUUCACAUGAUUACAAAAUGAUCUUGUUUUUGUUUUGAUCCCUCAUAUCCCAGUGACCUUGUCUGAUGUCCAUGUUCUGUGAAAUUUUUCAUGUUCAACAGAACACCAAGGCCAGCUCCUGGACGUCCGAGGAUGUUUUUCCCUUUCUCGAAUCUAUAAAUUAAAUGCAACUUUAAUCUUAAUUGCCAGUUUUGUAUGGGUUCGUUUUAUGAGAUUACUUGUCAAAAUCUAA